GCCUUUGUUGUAGGUGGUGUGUCAGAAGUCAUUCUUUGAUGCAUGCAGGUUUCACUUUGGCUCCUGGAGUUGGGUAUUACACCUGAAAGCCAUGAUCAGUUGAUUGAAUUAGUUGCUUGCUCUGAAGCUGGGAUUCUUCAUUUGUUUAGUCACCAACAAUCACAGUUAGAAUGCAGGCGCAGGAAGAGGCUCCUCCAGAAAUGCAACUCCAAAGGAUAUUACUCCAGAAGUCGGUAGUUACACUACACAAUGUUGUGAGUUCUGACGUGUGUGGGUUCUGUGUCGAAUGCUAUUGAUUUGUGGGAUUGGGGUUGUGUGUAGUUCAAUAAAGAGGCAGGACGUGUGGUUGAGGAGUGCAAAUUGAGAGUGGUAUAGGUUUCUCCAUCUCGAUCUGCCCCCUUCUCCGGUCCCAGAAGGGUCAGAGUAAGGGUCUUCACCAAGAACUUCUAUCAUGGAGAAUGGAAAUUUUAAUGGUGCUGGGUUUUCUAUUGGACGAAAACAUAAAACAGCAUUACACGAAGUUUGAUCACCUUUUGUUCAAAGUGCCCUUCUCAUGAACAGACUCAAAGAGUCGCAUUCCAAACGACAUAGAUAACAAGAAGUUCAGUUGACUACAGAAGUGGAAAGCAAAAAGUAAUCCCAAAGAAACAACCGAUGAUAUUGCAGGGGAAAGCCAACAAGGAAAGCUGGUGAAUGAGCAAUGACCACUCUAACGGUCAUUUAUUUCAAAUAGGCAAUCCAGUAAGGUAAAAACUUAAUUAAGUAAAAGUUCAAUUUCACCGCUAACAGUAGGGGAUUUAUUCCUGAACAUGUUAGCAGUUUGCAUGUCUUUUGCAAACUGGCAGGCAGAUAGUCUUGCUUGUAAGUUGAUAUAACAUCACACA